rnacentral:lncRNA from 10 species
GUCACCCCUCACGUGGGCGCUAGGUGUGGUUUCGUGGGAUAGGCAGAGACAGGGUUUCACCGUGUUAGCCAGGAUGGUCUCGAUCCCCUGACCUUGUGAUCUGCCCGCCUCGGCCUCCCAAAGUGCUGGGAUUACAGGUCACCAGUGAAAAGUUGUGCAGAGCCCAACAUGAGCUUCAUUUCCAAGCUGCCACCUAUCUCUGCCUCCUGCGUAGCAUCCGGAAACAUGUGGCCCUACAUCAGGAAUUUCAUGGCAAGGGUGAGCGCUCGGUGGAGGAGUCUGCUGGCUUGGUGGGUCUCAAGUUGCCCCAUCAGCCUGGAGGGAAGGGCUGGGAGCCAUGAACAUGGAGAAUAUCCUUGGAUGCUGCAUUCAUAGGAGAAUUGAAUAAUUUCUAUCAAUAUGUAUUUAUCAUUAAAUUUUUUUUAAGUUUAA